UGAAGCUUUACAAAUCUACCCAUUUCCCCAGCGACAUUUCAGACGCUGCCAUCGACAGUCUCACUGCGCAAGCAACAUGAACCGUCUAUUUGGAGUGGACCUUCUGUCUGUCGCCGCAAUCUUAAUUGCUUUGAUCGUCAUGGCUCCGGAAGAAGCUCUCGCUAGCUUCGGCGGAGGUGCGGGAGGAGGAGCCGGAGGCCCCGAAGGCUCGCGCAAGAAGUGAAGUUUCGUGCGUCCUGAAUGACGCCAUUCCACUGUUGCCAUGCUCUGGAUGACCCGCUCGCCUGCAAUAAAAUGCGUGUUGAGAACAUAA